rnacentral:snoRNA from 1 species
UUAAUUGAAUGAUGAUUAUUAUAUCGCCCCAGUCUGAACAGAUGUUGAUUGAUUUUUCUGAUUUUAA